AUGGGUGUGUUUGGAAUCACUCACUCUUACCAUAUGGCAAUCUUCCAUGACAUCUUCCUUACUCCACUGGAAAAUAAUCUGGGAGGGGCAGGGGGAGAAGGAAAACUGUGGAUAAGGUUGCCUUUCAUAAAGAAAGGCCAGACCAAGAGCCAGCACUUCUUAAACCUAUUGCUUGAUUCAAAUGAAGCGCAGAAAUAUGAAAGAAAUUUUAGAAUCUUCUAACACAAAUUUCAGAUAGAAGACUGAAUUUUUAUGGCAGAAAGGUGUGUAGUAGGCACAUUUACCCACAUCCUUUUUUCCUCAAAGGGAAAAAUUCCAUCUGUUUACAUUUUAUAUUUAUUACAAAGAGAACAUUUGAAAUUACAUAUAGAUCUUAUUUUAAGGAAAACAGUUUAUGAAAAAGGAAUUUCCAUACAAGACAAAUUUGAUGGAUACAACCACACUUAACAAAAUAGAUCUUCAUAUUUCGAAUUUAAGAUGGGAUUUCUUCUGCUGAUAAAGUACAAAUAAAAGGCUUGAUCUAACACAAAUGGGCUUUGGGAAACACGGAAUAGCGUGGCAGGGAAUAGACAAUGGUGCCUGACGGCUUGAGUUCAAGUCCUACCCUUGGUUAUUCCUCAGUUUCCUCAAUUAAAAUAGACUUUACGGUAACAAUGCCUAACUCUUAGAAUUGCUGGAAGGAUUAAAUAAACAAAUAAUUGUAAAGCCCUUAAACAGUACCUGAUACANNNNNNNUUCCAUAUAAGGGCUUGCGAAGUGAAGUUCAAUCAACACAUUAUUUCAGAAAUUAGGAGAAACUUGUAACUUACACGAUUGUGUGUUAAGAUAUCAACGUGGAAAUAUAUUUUUUAUAUUCUUAAACCUGCCCCCAUAUUUCAGUUUUUCAAAAGUUAUCUCACUGGCAGCAAUAAGUCUUGGGCAAAUAUUCCUUCUGUACUCCAGGUGAUUUCUACCACAAUCGUAAGCAAUGACAGGUAACACUCCUACAAAUAUUUAUANNNNNNNNNCAGCAUG
rnacentral:lncRNA from 1 species